UGCGUAGGCGGCGGACUAAGUUGGAUGUGAAAUACCCGGGCUUAACUUGGGGGGUGCAUUCAAAACUGGUUGGCUAGAGUACAGGAGAGGGAAGCGGAAUUCCUAGUGUAGCGGUGAAAUGCGUAGAUAUUAGGAGGAACACCGGUGGCGAAGGCGGCUUUCUGGACUGAAACUGACGCUGAGGCACGAAAGCGUGGGGAGCAAACAG
rnacentral:rRNA from 1 species